rnacentral:rRNA from 1 species
UACAGAGGUCUCAAGCGUUGUUCGGAUUCAUUGGGCGUAAAGGGUGCGUAGGCGGCGCGGUAAGUCGGGUGUGAAAUCUCGGGGCUUAACUCCGAAACUGCAUUCGAUACUGCCGUGCUUGAGGACUGGAGAGGAGACUGGAAUUUACGGUGUAGCGGUGAAAUGCGUAGAUAUCGUAAGGAAGACCAGUGGCGAAGGCGGGUCUCUGGACAGUUCCUGACGCUGAGGCACGAAGGCCCAGGGGGAGCAAAACGGG